rnacentral:misc_RNA from 1 species
GCAAACUUGGUCAUUUAGAGGAAGUAAAAGUCGUAACAAGGUCUCCGUAGGUGAACCUGCGGAGGGAUCAUUACUGCGAGGGUCCCCGGGCCCGUACGCAAACCCUUUUGUUGACCCACACCUGUUGCCUCGGGGGCGACCCGGCCGCCGACGCGUCGGCGUCGGGUCCCCCGACGGACCCUUCGAAACACUGUGUCUAUACGUCGGAGUACUUGAUGGAAAUGAAUCAAAACUUUCAACAACGGAUCUCUUGGUUCUGGCAUCGAUGAAGAACGCAGC